GGGGGAUUAGCUCAGAUGGAAGAGUGCGCGCUUAGCAUGCGAGAGGUAGUGGAAUCGAUGCCCGCAUCCUCCA
rnacentral:tRNA from 1 species